AACGAACGCUGGCGGCGUGGAUAAGACAUGCAAGUCGAACGCUGAUUUCAGGGUAGCAAUAUUCUGGAGUCGGAGUGGCGCAAGGGUGCGUAACACGUGGGUAAUUUGCCAUGAAGCCCGGAAUAACUCGCUGAAAGGCGAGCUAAUACCGGAUGUGAUCUUCGGGAGGCAUCUCCUGAACCUUAAAGCUGGGGACCGUAAGGCCUGGCACUUCUUGAUAAGCCCGCGGCCUAUCAGCUAGUUGGUGAGGUAACGGCUCACCAAGGCUAAGACGGGUAGCUGGUCUGAGAGGACGACCAGUCAC
rnacentral:rRNA from 1 species